AGUCGAGCGAAUGACGAGAAGCUUGCUUCUCUGAUUUAGCGGCGGACGGGUGAGUAACACGUGGGCAACCUGCCCUGUAGACUGGGAUAACUUCGGGAAACCGGAGCUAAUACCGGAUAAUUCUUUUAGCCUCAUGGCUUUAAGCUAAAAGGCGCUUCGGCGUCACUACAGGAUGGGCCCGCGGUGCAUUAGCUAGUUGGUGGGGUAACGGCCUACCAAGGCAACGAUGCAUAGCCGACCUGAGAGGGUGAUCGGCCACAUUGGGACUGAGACACGGCCCAAACUCCUACGGGAGGCAGCAGUAGGGAAUCUUCCACAAUGGACGAAAGUCUGAUGGAGCAACGCCGCGUGAGUGAUGAAGGUUUUCGGAUCGUAAAACUCUGUUGUAAGGGAAGAACAAGUGCGUUAGGUAAUGAACGCACCUUGACGGUACCUUAUUAGAAAGCCACGGCUAACUACGUGC
rnacentral:rRNA from 1 species